GGUUAUUGAAAAAGAAACAUAGUCCUAAGACUAAAGUCUAAAAUAUAAAAAACAUAAAUGACGAAGCCUUCUUCUUUCACAUGUAUCCAGUGUCAGAGUGCUUGGUAUAAAGUGUAUUUUACAAAUUCAACUAUUUUGUUUAUUGGCAGACUCUAUAGUGGUAGAUCUGGAAUUUGUAUGUUGAGUGUUACAUAGAUAUUUUUGCUUAACCAGUUUAGAUUAACAAGAUAAAGCUUACACUUCAGAACUGUAUGCUUGUCUCAAUUAAGAUUGAAGAGAGCUCUUUGUUAAUAAUUUUUUAAAGAGCAUGACUAGAAAUAGAUUCAUCAUCAGGUUUUAAUUUUGUUAAACUUUUAUUUGAUUUGGGCUUUUUGAUGGUACUGGUGCUGGUAGAAGAGCACAGAAAGCAAUGGAUUGAAUUGUAGUUUACUUGAAGCAAAUAUGAAGGUCAAAGAUAAAAUAUUUCAGUGAAAAAUAUUUUUAAAUGUCUCAUUUUUGUGCUUAUAUUCCAGUACUUAUUGCUAAUUGCUAAUUGAAUUGCAUGUGUCAAAACAUAGUCACCAAUAAGUAAAAAUGCUUGCAUUUCCAAUUAUGUUGGAGUUGCCAGAGUGAUAUGUUAUACAGAAGGAAACCAGAUGUGUUAUUUUCAUGUGCUAAACUCUCUAAUGAAAACAUAAGGCGUUAAUGAAAUCUCAAAGGUGGAAGCCCAGACAGAAAGCAUAAUUAGUUCAUUUACAACUUGAUCUUCCCUACUACAUUUAUUUAAUGCUCAUUUUAUGAUACCACAUAGAGCUUUAAAAUAACACAUAAAAUGAAGUUUAUAAGCCAUAUGUUGUUUUUUACUGCAAUAAAAUUCAAUAGCCUCCUUAAUCUAGGGUUUAGAUAAAACAGGUUGGAUUUGUAAAGUCAUGCUUGUGUUUUAAAUUAGGUCAAGCUAUAUUGUAUGUGUUAGCUGAUUAACUAGAAUAUACUGGUCUAUACAGAAUCUGAACCAGUAAUCCUUCACACUAUAGUCUUUUUUUUUUUUUUUUUUUUUACUCUAAAUGGUUGGAAAGAACAUAACAUGCUAAAAAAAAAAAAAAAAAAAAAAAGCAUAAGUUUUAAGAGUCAAACUAACCUGAGCUCAGAUCUAGAUCCAGCCACCUAAUGGUUGUUUGGCAUUAAAAAGUAUGUACAGAUACAUAUCAACUUCUCCAUCUAUGAGAUCCUUUCUGCACAGGGUUAUUACAGCGCCCAGAAAGUGGGUAUGUAGGGGCUGGCCCCUGCACUUGUGGUUAUAUGGUAGCUGUGAUGGUGUUGAUGAUAAUUCAGCUAACUUUUGUACAAAAGACAAAUAUAGGUUCCUGUGGUUAACUGCUCUCUAGGCACUCACUGUUUUCUCCAUACCUCUGUCUACUGUUGGGAGUAAGUAAAAAUGUCAGAUUAAUACGACUAAUUUGGUAAAAUGAUGUGAAUGCUUAACUGUCCCCAUUAUCCAGCUCACCUGAUAGUUCCUGAAAUUGGUACCAAAGCACUUGUGUUGGAAGAAGUGGUUCACCUCCUGAAGGUCUUCCCGUUUUCUUCUUUGGGCAUUCAUUAUAAAUCAGUCAUCAUUUUAUAUAGAUUGUUAACUAAGAUUACAUUUGGCAUAUAAUAAGAUCCUUCUGUGAUGACUCCAUGAAGCGCUACUUAAAAUGGACUAGAGAAGGCUAAGUUUUUGUUUGAUAUUCAUUCCAAGGAUGUGGUCAAUGGUCUACAUGGAUUCUCUAUUGAUAUAUAUCUGAGCCACCCUUGCUCUCUCAUGCAUGGCCUGAUUAAUUGCAAAAACUAAGUGCAUGCAAACAAAACUGUUCUUUGCUCCAGCUGUUUCCAUCUGCAUUGUCAUUAGCGACAUAGCCCAAGGUGGAAGGUUAUUAGACAACCAAUGAACACAUCAUUGGCAUAAUCUCAUCUUAUUGAUUGGACAAGUCCCCAUUAAGUCAUCUUUCUGGAAUACUUGGGAUUUUUCCUUUUAUUUCAUAGACAUUCAUUCAUUCCGUCAUUUAACACAUAUUUAUCAGGCACCAGCUGUGUGCCAGGAACCCUUAUAGAUGUUAAAAAUACAAGCAAAACUCCCUGUCCUUUCUGUGGGAGAUGUAAUUGGCUAGGAUAAAUACUAAGCUGCUGUAACAAAGAGACCCAGAAAUAUCGUGGCCUAAGUAAGAUAGAAGUUUCUCUGUCUCGUAUUUAGCAGUUCAGCCUGGGAAAGCAGCUCUGCGUCAGGAUGUCUCAGAGCCCAGCUUCCUGCCCCCUGUGCUAAGCCAGCCUUAGACAUCUGCUUCCCACAGAGGAUCAAGGCUUGGCUGCUGCAUUCACCUCCCAGCUCACAGUGAGGGGCAAGUGUGAAGCUGACCCACACAUAACCCACACCCCUUCUGCCCACUUUCGUCCCCACUGACUCUAACCUGGAUAUGGUCAGGCUCAGCUGCAGUGUGGCUUCUUGCUGGACCUAGCUUAACGACGAGCCUGGUGGGUGUGUUUGAGAAGCAGGGUGGGAUCUCCAACUCCUACCUUGGGAGAGAAUGACAGUGAACCAAACAAGUAAAGUAUACAAAAUGUCAGAUGAUCGUCAGUGCUGUGAAGGAAGAGAAAGCAGGGCAGUGGGUAGGAAGUGCUGGGGAGAAACUGCAAUUGUAAAUAGAUUGGUGGGAAGCCUCACUGAGGUGGUGACAUUGCGGAAGGACUCCAGCAGCUGAGGUGCAGUCCUUGCGGCAGUCUAGGGGAGCAUUGUGGACAGAGGCACUGACAGGUGAGGAAGAUCUGUGGGAGGGGCAGGGAGUGUGUUGAGGGAUUUGCUUGUAGUUGGGGGCACGUGCUUUGGACAUGGUGAGUUGAGAUGCAUCUUUAUCCAUGUGGAGGUGCCAAGUAGGCUGUGAGAUGCAUGACUCUGAAGUUCAAGAGAGCAGAUCAGACUGGAAAGAAAAUUUCAGAGUAGUGAAAUCAAGUAUCCUACUUCAUCUUUCAUGUAAAUGCCAUGCUCAUUUCUGCAGGGAGAGCACAGCCAGGCCACAGUG
rnacentral:lncRNA from 10 species